GACGAACGCUGGCGGCGUGCUUAACACAUGCAAGUCGAACGAAGUGGCGAACGGGUGAGUAACGCGUAAUCAACCUGCCCUUCAGAGGGGGACAACAGUUGGAAACGACUGCUAAUACCGCAUACUGAAGGAGGGGAUUGCGUCUGAUUGGCUAGUUGGGGGGGUAACGGCCCACCAAGGCGAUGAUCAGGAGGCGGUCCGAGAGGAUGAACGGCCACAUUGGGACUGUGAAAAGGGCCAGACUCCUACGGGGGGCAGCAGUGGGGAAGCUUCCGCAAUGGACGAAAGUCUGACGGAGCAACGCCCCGUGAGUGAUGACGGCCUUCGGGUUGGAAAGCUCUGUUAAGCGGGACGCGGUACCGGAAUAGAAAGCCACGGCUAACUACGUGCCAGCAGCCGCGGUAAUUC
rnacentral:rRNA from 1 species